rnacentral:rRNA from 1 species
UACGUAGGGUGCGAGCGUUGUCCGGAAUUACUGGGCGUAAAGAGCUCGUAGGUGGUUUGUCGCGUUGUCCGUGAAAACUCACAACUCAAUUGUGGGCGUGCGGGCGAUACGGGCAGACUGGAGUACUGCAGGGGAGACUGGAAUUCCUGGUGGUAGCGGUGGAAUGCGUAGAUAUCGGGAGGAACACCAGAGGCGAAGGCGGGCUACUGGGCUGAUGACUGACGCUGAUGCGCGAAAGCCAGGGGAGCAAACGGG